UCCCUCAAUGUGUGCCAAAACUUCAGUGGCUAAUUCUGUGGCUCUUUCCUUUUCUUCUCCCUCAGAGCACAUAGCAAUCCAAGCAUUCUCUAAAAGCUGAAGGAUCAAUAACCAAAGAAUUUUAUCAUGAUCGUUGAGGUUAGAUUCAGCGAGAAGGCAACAGUAACCAUUUUGCUUUCUGGACAGAGGAUAGAGACAUGAUCGAUGAUCAAACAGGCCUACCAGCAAAUCCCCCAGCCAAACUACACAAUCUUCACAUGAUCUAUCAACAAAAUCGAGACCCUGUUUCUUUUUUUCUUCCUCAAAGAAGAACAGAUCU